CUGCAAAUUGAGCACGGUGGUCCCGGCAUCUGCGUCUGAGUCGCUGCUAUUGCCAUCUAUCACGGAGCAAAAGACAAGAGUUGGGGUCUUGAUCUGUCACUCAGGCUGGAAUGCAGUGGCACUCAUAACUCACUGCAGCCUCCAACUCCUGGGCUCAAGCAACUUUCCCACCUCAGCCUUCCAAGUUGUUAUUACAGCCCACAGCAGCAGAACUCCCAGGGGACCCCAAGGCUUCAGCCAUGGUGUCCAGGAGGAUAGUAGGACCCUGAAGAGGGAUGGAGAGAAGCAGAAGGAGAGAAGAUGCCCAGCAUGGGACCUGCUGAGCCCAGUGUCAAGAUGCAGCCUCCAGUUACAGCACAAAACCAGAAGGCAUCCUGUUAGCCAAAGGUAAGUAAAUAUUUUGCUACAUAAAUUAUUCUUACUCGCUGA